rnacentral:rRNA from 1 species
UACAGGGGGUGCAAACGUUGCUCGGAAUUAUUGGGCGUAAAGCGCGCGUAGGCGGUUGCUUAUGUCGGAUGUGAAAGCCCUCGGCUUAACUGAGGAAGUGCAUCCGAAACUGGGCAGCUAGAGUACGAAAGAGGGUCGCGGAAUUCCCGGUGUAGAGGUGAAAUUCGUAGAUAUCGGGAGGAACACCGGUGGCGAAGGCGGCGACCUGGGUCGAGACUGACGCUGAGGCGCGAAAGCGUGGGUAGCAAACGGG